GUGAGGAAUAUUGCGCAAUGGAGGCAACUCUGACGCAGCCAUGCCGCAUGCAGGAAGAAGGCGCUACGCGUUGUAAACUGCUUUUAACCGGGAAGAAACCCCAGGACGUGUCCUGGGUUGACGGUACCGGAGGAAUAAGCACCGGCUAACUUCGUGCCAGCAGCCGCGGUAAUACGAAGGGUGCAAGCGUUAUCCGGAUUCAUUGGGUUUAAAGGGUGCGUAGGCGGAGCGUUAAGUCAGUGGUGAAAUCCUGCAGCUUAACUGUAGACUUGCCAUUGAUACUGGCGCUCUUGAGUGCGCUUGAAGUGGGCGGAAUGUGCCGUGUAGCGGUGAAAUGCUUAGAUAUGGCACAGAACACCAAUUGCGAAGGCAGCUCACUAAGGCGAUACUGACGCUGAGGCACGAAAGCGUGGGGAUCGAACAGGAUUAGAAACCCGGGUAGUCC
rnacentral:rRNA from 1 species